UCCUGGUUAGCUCAAUUGGUAAAGCGCUCCACUGGAAAUGGGAAAGUCCCCGGUUCGAUACCAAGACCAGGCG
rnacentral:tRNA from 1 species